rnacentral:tRNA from 1 species
GGUUGUAACUCACUGGUAGAGUGCUUGCCUUGCAUGCAUGAGGCCCUAGGUUCAAUCCUCAGCACCA